UUAGCAACCAAGGGGAGCCAUUUGGCUGAGAUUUGAGGAAAGACUCAUCAACCCUUAUACCUGAUCCGGAUAAUGCCGGCGUAGGAAUGGUAAGACACUUAUCC
rnacentral:ncRNA from 2 species